rnacentral:rRNA from 1 species
AUUGAACGCUGGCGGCAGGCCUAACACAUGCAAGUCGAACGAGUGGCGGACGGGUGAGUAAUGUCUGGGAAACUGCCCGGUGGAGGGGGAUAACUACUGGAAACGGUAGCUAAUAACGCAUACCAUCGGAUGUGCCCAGAUGGGUGUAGCUAGUAGGUGGGGUAAAGGAUCACCUAGGCGACGAUCCAUAGCUGGUCUGAGAGGAUGACCAGCCACACUGGAACUGAGACACGGUCCAGAAUCCUACGGGAGGCAGCAGUGGGGAAUAUUGCACAAUGGGCGCAAGCCGGAUGCAGCCAUGCCGCGGGUAUGAAGAAGGCCUUCGGGUUGUAAAGUACUUUCAGCGAGGAGGCGUUACUCGCAGAAGAAGCACCGGCUAACUCCGUGCCAGCAGCCGCGGUAAUUC